rnacentral:rRNA from 1 species
CGAGAAGACCCUGUGGAGCUUUAGACACCAAGACAAAUCAUGUUAAGGACCCCUAAAUAAAGGCCUGAACUUAUUGAAAACUUGCUCUGAUGUCUUUGGUUGGGGCGACCGAGG